rnacentral:rRNA from 1 species
UUAUAUUCUGUAGCAAGGUUAACCGUAUAGGGGAGCCGAAGGGAAACCGAGUCUUAACCGGGCGUUAAGUUGCAGGGUAUAGACCCGAAACCCGGUGAUCUAGCCAUGGGCAGGUUGAAGGUUGGGUAACACUAACUGGAGGACCGAACCGACUAAUGUUGAAAAAUUAGCGGAUGACCUGUGGCUGGGGGUGAAAGGCCAAUCAAACCGGGAGAUAGCUGGUUCUCCCCGAAAGCUAUUUAGGUAGCGCCUCGUGAAUUCAUCUCCGGGGGUAGAGCACUGUUUCGGCUAGGGGGCCAUCCCGGCUUACCAACCCGAUGCAAACUGCGAAUACCGGAGAAUGUUAUCACGGGAGACACACGGCGGGUGCUAACGUCCGUCGUGAAGAGGGAAACAACCCAGACCGCCAGCUAAGGUCCCAAAGUCAUGGUUAAGUGGGAAACGAUGUGGGAAGGCCCAGACAGCCAGGAUGUUGGCUUAGAAGCAGCCAUCAUUUAAAGAAAGCGUAAUAGCUCACUGGUCGAGUCGGCCUGCGCGGAAGAUGUAACGGGGCUAAACCAUGCACCGAAGCUGCGGCAGCGAACGUAUCACUUAAAGCGAUUCAGCGGGUUACGAUUGACGGAGCGAAGCGACGUCAAAGCGUAUACAAAGUCGAGUCGGUUUAAGGAUACGUUCGUUGGGUAGGGGAGCGUUCUGUAAGCCUGUGAAGGUGUGUCGUGAGGCAUGCUGGAGGUAUCAGAAGUGCGAAUGCUGACAUAAGUAACGAU